GAUAACAGGCUGAUCUUCCCCAAGAGCUCACAUCGACGGGAAGGUUUGGCACCUCGAUGUCGGCUCUUCGCCACCUGGGGCUGUAGUAUGUUCCAAGGGUUGGGCUGUUCGCCCAUUAAAGCGGUACGUGAGCUGGGUUCAGAACGUCAAUUAGAAACGGAUGAAUAUCCCAUUUUUACAGUAC
rnacentral:ncRNA from 1 species